rnacentral:rRNA from 1 species
ACCGACAUCAACCUACCCGUCUUGUAACACGGACCGAGGAGUCUAACAUGCCCGCGAGUUCAACAUUCGAGAUGCUGUGCGCGCGAAAGCGGAAAGUAUUUCCCUACUAGCAGAGCGCGUAUGUUAGGUCCCGAAAAAUGGCGAACUAUUUCUGCUCAGGCUGAAGUCAUUGGAAACUUUGAUGGAAGGUCUCAACGGUUUUGACGUGCAAAUCGAUCGUGUGAAGCAGGUAUAGGGGCGAAAGACCAAUCGAGCCAUUUAGUUGCUGGUUCUCUCUGAAGUUUCCCUCAGGAUAGCGGUCCCUACAGAAUAAUGUGCGGUAAAGAGAAUGAUUAGAGGUAUCUGGGAGAGCUUCUCCUAGGCCGAUUUUCAAACUCAGAAUGCGCAUCGGCGAUUUCUCCAUGAAUUGUCGAAUUAUCUUAGGGAUCAGUGGGCCUUUUUUGGUAAGCAGAUCGGGCGAUGAGGGUUCCUCCUAGAGUCGAGAUAACGUGCUCAAAGCUACAUCAAUUAAAUGAUGUCAGUGCAUACUGACAGCAGGAGGGUGGCCAUGGAAGUUGGAAUCCACUAAGGAGUGUGUUACAACUCACCUGCCGAAUGUACUGGCUCAGAAAAUUGAUAGCUAACCAGUAGCAACUAAUUCUCGACGCUAAGUAAGAGAGCGUAGUGGUCGGACAGAACGUAGAGCGUGAGCCCUGCACGACCGGCCACCAUUGCAGAUCUCGGUGGUAGUAGCACUUGCUAAAAUGGAACCUUUUAGGACCACUUGGACGAAGGUUCCACGACAACAGCCAAUGUUCGUGGGUAAGUCGGCCUUAAUCGCGUAGUCGAGAAAAGCAACCUGGUUAACAUUCCAGGACAACACAGGAAAACGGCAACGUUUGUGCGGGUAUUUGUUAGAUGUUGGAAGGAAGGGGACUUUCGUCCCUUUUAACAGCUGUACGCCUCUGGAACUGUGUGAAACAGAGAUAGAGGCAGACACUGGAAUAAUUACCUCUUGCGGGUAAUCCUGAGCCAACAUUUGACCUCUGAAAAAUACCCGCAUUCUGUGGUGUAGCCGUACCAAUAGCCGCAUCAGGUCUCCGAGACGCAAAGUCUUCGGUUCAAUGGAUGAAUGUAAGCAAGGGAAGUCGACAAGUUCGAUCCGUAACUUCGGGAAAAGGAUUGGCUUCGUGGACUUAGUGAGGAAUGUCUGUCUUAGCGAGGAAUGUGACUCUACCGAGUUGCUCCGCCGCUGAGCACAGCAACCUCACUAACAAUACAUGAAACUGACGCGCAAACGAGGAAUCUGACUGUUUAAUCGAAACGUAGCAUCAUGCAGCGUGGUGUGGACAUGAUGUGAUUUCUGCUCAGUGCUUUGAAAGUUAAAGUUGAGCAACCGACAGAAGCGCAGGUCAACAGCGGGAGUAACUAUGACUCUCUUAAGGUAGCGAAAUGCCUCGUCAUCUAAUUAGUGACGUGCAUGAAUGGAGCAACGAGAUUCCUACUGUCCCUGUUUACUAUUCAGCGAAACCACAGCCAAGGGAACGGGCUUGGUACACACAGCGGGGAAAGAAGACCCUGUUGAGCUUGACUCUAGUCUGGAUCGGUUUGGCGACUUGUCAGGUGUAGCAUAGGUGGGAGACUUCGCCAAUGAAAUACCACUACUGACAUAGUUUCUGAACCCACGGUGUUCGUGCAGCGUCAGGAUGCAUUUUCACCGGCAAAUCCAGAUCGGGAGUUUGGCUGGGGCGGCAUAUCUGUUAAAAGAUAACGCAGGUGUCCUAAGACGAGCUCAGGCAGAUCAGAAAUCUGCCGUAGACUGACAGGAGAAAGACUCGCUUGAUUGUAGUCUCCAGUACGGACUACAAAUGCUAACGCAUGGCCUAUCGAUCCUUACGCGUUGACUUUUUCAGCUAGAGGUGUCAGAAAAGUUACCACAGGGAUAACUGAUUCGUGGCGACCAAGAGUUCAUAUCGACGUCGCUUUUUGAUCCUUCGAUGUCGGCUCUUCCUAUCAUUGUGAAGCAGAAUUCACAAAGUGUCGGAUUGUUCACCCGCUAAUAGGGAACGUGAGCUGGGUUUAGACCGUCGUGAGACAGGUUAGUUUUACCCUACUGUGUAACUCUAACAGUAGACCGUCUUAGUACGAGAGGAACAGGCGGCCGGCGUUUUUCGUAGUGGCACUGGUUGAAUAGCCACGUGCCUACACGAACACGCGUAGUUCGAUGACUGGAAGCCUCUAAGUCAGAAGGCAAUCUGUUAGAG